GACAGAGGGUGCAAACGUUGUUCGGAAUUACUGGGCGUAAAGCGCGUGUAGGCGGCUCGGCAAGUCGGAUGUGAAAGCCCUGGGCUCAACCCAGGAAGUGCACUCGAAACUGCCGAGCUUGAGUUCUGGAGAGGAAGGCGGAAUUCUCGGUGUAGAGGUGAAAUUCGUAGAUAUCGAGAGGAACACCGGUGGCGAAGGCGGCCUUCUGGACAGCGACUGACGCUGAGACGCGAAAGCGUGGGUAGCAAACAGG
rnacentral:rRNA from 1 species